CCCUGCCCGGGAGCAAGGAGCUGGUAUCAGGCACACACCUGUUAGCCCAUGACACCUUGCUUAGCCACACCCUCAAGGGAACUCAGCAGUGAUAAACAUUAAGCCAUAAGUGAAAACUUGACUUAGUUAAAGCUAAGAGGGCCGGUAAAACUCGUGCCAGCCACCGCGGCUAUACGAGAGACCCAAGUUGAUACCAUUCGGCGUAAAGAGUGGUUAUGGAAAAUAAAGACUAAAGCCGCACACCUUCAAAGCUGUUAUACGCACCCGAAGGCCAGAAGCUCAACCACGAAGGUAGCUUUACAACCCCUGACCCCACGAAAGCUCUGGCACAAACUGGGAUUAGAUACCCCACUAUGCCUAGCCCUAAACAUUGGUACUAUACCACACACCCUACCCGCCUGGGAACUACGAGCACCAGCUUAAAACCCAAAGGACUUGGCGGUGCUUUAGACCCCCCUAGAGGAGCCUGUUCUAGAACCGAUAACCCCCGUUCAACCUCACCCUUCCUUGUUUAUUCCGCCUAUAUACCGCCGUCGUCAGCUUACCCUGUGAAGGUCUAAUAGUAAGCACAACUGGCAUAACCCAAAACGUCAGGUCGAGGUGUAGCGCAUGGAGGG
rnacentral:rRNA from 1 species